rnacentral:rRNA from 1 species
GCUUACGGCGAUAUCAGCCUGGGUACUCCCGAUCUCGUCUGAUCUCGGAAGCUAAGCAGGGUCGGGCCUGGUUAGUACUUGGAUGGGAGACCACCUGGGAAUACCAGGUGCUGUAAGCA